rnacentral:rRNA from 1 species
GCUCAACCGAAGAAGUGCAUCGGAAACUGGGAAACUUGAGUGCAGAAGAGGACAGUGGAACUCCAUGUGUAGCGGUGAAAUGCGUAGAUAUAUGGAAGAACACCAGUGGCGAAGGCGGCUGUCUGGUCUGUAACUGACGCUGAGGCUCGAAAGUAUGGGUAGCAAACAGGAUUAGAUACCCUGGUAGUCCAUACCGUAAACGAUGAAUGCUAAGUGUUGGAGGGUUUCCGCCCUUCAGUGCUGCAGCUAACGCAUUAAGCAUUCCGCCUGGGGAGUACGGCCGCAAGGCUGAAACUCAAAGGAAUUGACGGGGGCCCGCACAAGCGGUGGAGCAUGUGGUUUAAUUCGAAGCUACGCGAAGAACCUUACCAGGUCUUGACAUACUAUGCAAAUCUAAGAGAUUAGACGUUCCCUUCGGGGACAUGGAUACAGGUGGUGCAUGGUUGUCGUCAGCUCGUGUCGUGAGAUGUUGGGUUAAGUCCCGCAACGAGCACAACCCUUAUUAUCAGUUGCCAGCAUUAAGUUGGGCACUCUGGUGAGACUGCCGGUGACAAACCGGAGGAAGGUGGGGAUGACGUCAAAUCAUCAUGCCCCUUAUGACCUGGCUACACACGUGCUACAAUGGAUGGUACAACG